CGUAAAGAGUUGCGUAGGUGGCAGAGUAAGUAGAUAGUGAAAGCGUCCCGCUCAACGGGAUACCCAUUAUCUAAACUGCUCAGCUAGAGGACGAGAGAGGUAGAUGGAAUUUCCAAUGUAGGGGUAAAAUCCGUAGAUAUUGGAAGGAACACCGAUGGCGUAGGCAGUCACUGGCUCGUUCCUGACACUAAGGCACGAAAGCGUGGGGAGCGAACGGGAUUAGAUACCCCGGUAGUCCACGCCGUAAACGAUGGAUGCUAGCUGUAUUCGGUAUCGACCCCGGAUGUAGCGAAGCUAACGCGUUAAGCAUCCCGCCUGUGGAGUACGGUCGCAAGACUAAAACAUAAAGGAAUUGACGGGGACCCGCACAAGCGGUGGAGCGUGUUGUUUAAUUCGAUGGUAAGCGAAGAACCUUACCCAGGCUUGACAUCCUUGGAAUUUCUCCGAAAGGAGAGAGUGCUUUUAGAGCCAAGUGACAGGUGAUGCAUGGCCGUCGUCAGCUCGUGUCGUGAGAUGUUUGGUUAAGUCCAUCAACGAGCGCAACCCUUAUAGUUAGUUGUAUUUUUCUAGCUAGACUGCCCUGGUAACAGGGAGGAAGGAGGGGAUGAUGUCAGGUCAGUAUUUCCCUUACGCCUGGGGCUACAAACACGCUACAAUGGCCGGUACAAAGGGCAGCCAAGUCGCGAGACGGAGCAAACCCCAUCAAAGCCGGUCUCAGUUCGGAUAGCAGGCUGAAACUCGCCUGCUUGAAGCCGGAAUCGCUAGUAACGGUAGGUCAGAACACUACCGUGAAUACGUUCCCGGGUCUUGUACACACCGCCCGUCAAGCCAUGAAAGUCGCCAAUACCUGACGUGUG
rnacentral:rRNA from 1 species